rnacentral:rRNA from 1 species
AACUUGAGAGUUUGAUCCUGGCUCAGAACGAACGCUGGCGGCAGGCUUAACACAUGCAAGUCGAACGCCCCGCAAGGGGAGUGGCAGACGGGUGAGUAACGCGUGGGAAUCUACCCAGAACUUCGGAACAACUGAGGGAAACUUCAGCUAAUACCGGAUACGCCCUACGGGGGAAAGAUUUAUCGGUUCUGGAUGAGCCCGCGUUGGAUUAGCUAGUUGGUGAGGUAAUGGCUCACCAAGGCGACGAUCCAUAGCUGGUCUGAGAGGAUGAUCAGCCACACUGGGACUGAGACACGGCCCAGACUCCUACGGGAGGCAGCAGUGGGGAAUAUUGGACAAUGGGCGAAAGCCUGAUCCAGCCAUGCCGCGUGAGUGAUGAAGGCCUUAGGGUUGUAAAGCUCUUUCAGUAGGGAAGAUAAUGACGGUACCUACAGAAG